CAAUAGCGUAUAUUUAAGUUGUUGCAGUUAAAAAGCUCGUAGUCGGAUUUUGGCUGAGAACGAUCGGUCCACCGUUAGGUGUGCACUGAUUGGUCUCAGCUUCCUGGUGAGGAGGUGUGCUUCACGGCCACUUAGUCACCGUGGUUACUUUGAAAAAAUUAGAGUGUUCAAAGCGGGCUUACGCUUGAAUAUAUUAGCAUGGAAUAACACCAUAGGACUCCUGUCCUAUUUCGUUGGUCUCGGGACGGGAGUAAUGAUUAAGAGGAACAGUUGGGGGCAUUCGUAUUUCAUUGUCAGAGGUGAAAUUCUUGGAUUUAUGAAAGACGAACUUCUGCGAAAGCAUUUGCCAAGGAUGUUUUCAUUGA
rnacentral:rRNA from 1 species